GUGCUCGCUUCAGCAACACAUAUACUAAAAUUGAAAUGAUACAGAGAAGAUUAGCAUGGUCCCUGUGCAAAGAUGACAGGCAAAUAAAUUUGUGAAGCAUUCCAUAUUUUU